rnacentral:rRNA from 1 species
GACGAACGCUGGCGGCGUGCCUAAUACAUGCAAGUAGAACGCAGUUGCGAACGGGUGAGUAACGCGUAGGUAACUGCCUGGUAGCGGGGGAUAACUAUUGGAAACGAUAGCUAAUACCGCAUACUACCAGAUGGACCUGCGUUGUAUUAGCUAGUUGGUGAGGUAACGGCUCACCAAGGCAACGAUACAUAGCCGACCUGGGAUGGUGGUCGGCCACACGUGGAAUGGGUAAAGGCCCAGACUCCUACGGGAUGCAGCAAGAGGGAAUCUUCGGCAAUGGGGGGAACCCUUACCGAGCCACGCCGCGUGAGUGGAGGAGGUUUUCGGAUCGUAAAACUCUGUUGUUAAGGAAGCGGUACUUAACCAGAAAGGGACGGCUAACUACGUGCCAGCAGCCGCGGUAAUAC